rnacentral:lncRNA from 1 species
CUUGAAUUUCCUUCCUUCAUCUCCUGCCCUCUGUUCUGACGUCCCUUUGCUGUCCUCUUGUACAUCUCUGGGUGCUGACACGACAGCGUAGCUCCUGUCUGCUCGGCACAGCUCUCCUGAAGGUGUUUGUCUCAGGAGGUGUCUCAGAGAAAGGAAACAAGAAACUGGUGAAAGAUGGUUGAAGAACCCGUCAGGGUGGAGCAGAGACUCUCAGUG